AGCCACAAUUAGUAAGAAUAAGCACACUGAAGAGAAGCUGAAUGUUUUGUUUUGUUUUUUUUUCCGCAUCAGUCUUUAAUGGAGAGAGCAUUAGGGAGAUACCUGCUUGCAGACCAGCUUUUUUCAGCACGGAAAAGGAUAUGCUAGUCAAUUCUACAGGACUUACCUGAAGCAGCAUGAUUUGCACAAAAGUCGACCAACAAAAAAGCAUUAACUUUUCAACUUCAUUGUCUUGGCCAUCCAGUUCUGAGUAACUGAAGGAUUUGUGUGCUGUUGGAGACAUCGUGGCCAACAACAGGACCUAAUUGCUCUCAGCAGGCCUGAGAAAUGAGUUGAAAUGUAUGGAACUGUAGAAACUUCAGAGGCAACUGUUCUUGCCUCUCUGAUCAGUGUGUGCCUGUUUACAGCACUAUAUAUCUUUCUCUCUCCAAAAUGUCACUGAGCCCUUUAGAUGUUUAUAUUCACCACAAGAAGCCAAUCGUACAGAUAAAAGAAAUGUGCAUUAUAAAUGCAAUAUCACUGUUUUAAACUUGACUGUUUUAUAUUAUUUUUGUGUGAUCAAGUGUUCCCCAAAAUAUUCCAACUUUACAAGAGAGAUUGUGAUCAUGUUCUUUUCACCUGUGGGUCAUAAAAAUGUUGUUAAUCUGCAGACCCACAAAAUAUCAAAGACAUUCUGUAGUUUAUACACCGUGUUGCAAAGUGUUUACUGUACUAUUUCAAAGCUUCUAAAUAAAUAUAAAAUAUAUAUAUUAUAUUAUAUUAUAUAUAAUUUUCCGAACAAUGUGGUACAAUUUAGUUGAUUUUUAAAUGGAUUCAUGCAGUCCACAUCAUGCAUUAAAAGUGAGAAGGUAAUUCAGGGUCCCUAACCUAUCCUUGCUAAAAUAAAUAAAUAAAUAAAUCUUUAGUAGUAUUUCCCCAAUUUUCGUAUUUUGGUCAGUCCUGUUUUUCUGGUCUUUGUUUUUGUUUUUUUAAGAUGUAAGCAACAACAUUUUACUUAAGUUGUACUGAAUUUUCAAUGCCAAAGAUGCAGCUGUCAGUUUUACCAGUAUGAGCAUUAUGUACUAUCAAAAGUAUAUAUCAGUUUCCAUUAUUUUGAUUAUAUUUCUAAAGUUUUUUAAUUUGGUAUCACAUAACCUUUCAUAAAGGGCCUUUUGCUCACCUGUAUAUGUUUUUAAAAAGAAGACUGGGUGUCUGUACAUUUUGCAAUGUAAGAUAUAAUGUAACUGAUAAUAACUAUUUUAAGGAAAUCUUACCAAACUCAUAAUUCACACACAUCUUUCUUUGAUAUAGUUUUGUGAAAACCUAAGCAAAUAUAUAUAUCUUUUCAUCAUGGCUAGAAAUGGUUUUUGAUAAAACACAAACCACAAAGGCCUGGAGUAUAACAACCUUUUAACUUUUUAGUCAUCUUUGUUGUUUUAUAUAAAACUUGUUUUGGAGUUAGGAACAUGGCACAUUCUCAGACUGACCUUUCUCUUACAGGAAUAAUAACCAAUAGGCUACUGACUUCUUUGGGAACAGGACUGAGCUUUUCCAUAUUAUCUGUAUAUUUUAUAACAAUUUUAUGAAUUGAAAUAUUGUCUCAUUUUUUUUAUAAAAAAAAAAAUCAAAAAACAAGCCUUGAAAAGUAAAGUUUAAGUUUACCUUCAUGUUCAGAAAAUGUAAAAUCUAGACAUUUUUUUUCUGUUUUUUACAUACACUGCUGUACUGUGUUCUUUCUGAUGUUUCCUAAUUGUUGCCUCUCAAACACUGAAAAAUAA